rnacentral:rRNA from 1 species
GACGAACGCUGGCGGCGUGCUUAACACAUGCAAGUCGAACGUGAUUUUUGUGGAAAUUCUUUCGGGAAUGGAAAUGAAAUGAAAGUGGCGAACGGGUGAGUAACACGUGAGCAACCUACCUUACACAGGGGGAUAGCCGUUGGAAACGACGAUUAAUACCGCAUGAGACCACAGAAUCGCAUGAUAUAGGGGUCAAAGAUUUAUCGGUGUAGGAAGGGCUCGCGUCUGAUUAGCUAGUUGGAAGGGUAAAGGCCUACCAAGGCGACGAUCAGUAGCCGGUCUGAGAGGAUGAACGGCCACAUUGGAACUGAGACACGGUCCAAACUCCUACGGGAAGCAGCAGUGGGGAAUAUUGCACAAUGGGGGGAACCCUGAUGCAGCGACGCCGCGUGAGCGAAGAAGGUUUUCGAAUCGUAAAGCUCUGUCCUAUGAGAAGAUAAUGACGGUAUCAUAGGAGGAAGCCCCGGCUAAAUACGUG